CUAGCCAACCAUAUUAGAUGGUGAGGCGUACAUUUUUAUAGAUAGUAUUCGUUCCCACCUAUUCACAAUUGUUAGGAUAUCAUGAGCUAUUGCAAUACACCUGCCUUUAAUACAAGUGGUUGAUGUUGUCAAAAGAAACACCCAAUUAACUGUAAACCCGAAUCUUUGUUUUAUGCACGUAGCAAUGGUUAUGAUCAAUGCAUUGACAUCCCUUGUUUGAUUGAAUGGUGUAUAUAUAUAUAUAUAUAUAUAUAUUAUUCUGCAGUUAGAAUCCAGACCAUGACCAUGAUAAAAAGAGAAAAGUGGCAAGAAGGGAUCUGAGGGAGGCAAUCGAGUAUAGCCAUCAGUACUUCAAAGUGGUGGAAAUUGAAGGUUAUUGUAAUUAUAGCUAUGAUUUUGACAUUUUCAAGCAGAUUAUUGAAAAUGUUGUUACACUAGAGAAAAUUAUUAUUGAUACUCACGAUCCACAAAGUGUGAAGCUCCAGGCGGGUAGAAGUCGUGUCAAGCAACAAGCAACUGCUGACAACACAAGUACCUCCGGGUGUUGAAUUAAUAGUAUUGUAAUCUUAAGUAGAGGCGUAGGGGCGUAGGGGCGUAGGGGCAUGGUUUAAAAUUAAAUUUUUAUUUUAUAUUUAUUUAUGAAACUUCC
rnacentral:lncRNA from 1 species